GACGAACGCUGGCGGCGUGCUUAACACAUGCAAGUCGAACGGAAAGGCCCUGCUUGCAGGGUGCUCGAGUGGCGAACGGGUGAGUAACACGUGGGUGAUCUGCCCCUUACUUUGGGAUAAGCCUGGGAAACUGGGUCUAAUACUGGAUAGGACCAUGCUGUAGGUGGUGUGGUGGAAAGAUUAGUUUCGGUAAGGGAUGAGCUCGCGGCCUAUCAGCUUGUUGGUGGGGUAAUGGCCUACCAAGGCGUCGACGGGUAGCCGGCCUGAGAGGGUGGGCGGCCACAUUGGGACUUAGAUACGGCCCAGACUCCUACGAGAGGCAGCAGUGGGGAAUAUUGCACAAUGGGCGCAAGCCUGAUGCAGCGACGCAGCGUGGGGGAUGACGGCCUUCGGGUUGUAAACUCCUUUCAGCCAUGACGAAGCCCUUGUGGUGACGGUAGUGGUAGAAGAAGCACCGGCUAACUACGUG
rnacentral:rRNA from 1 species